AUCGCUUCUCGGCCUUUUGGCUAAGAUCAAGUGUAGUAUCUGUUCUAUCAGUUUAAUAUCUGAUACGUCCCCCUCGGGGGACUACAUAUUAAAUGGAUUUUUCGAACAGGGAGUCGGAAAUGGGGCUUGCUCCGUCCGCUCCACGCAUCGACCCGGUAUUGCAGUACCUCCGGGAACGGUGCAACACUU
rnacentral:snRNA from 1 species